UACGGGGGGGGCAAGCGUUGUUCGGAAUUACUGGGCGUAAAGCGCGCGUAGGCGGCUUUGUAAGUUAGAGGUGAAAGCCCGGAGCUCAACUCCGGAAUUGCCUUUAAGACUGCAUCGCUAGAAUCAUGGAGAGGUGAGUGGAAUUCCGAGUGUAGAGGUGAAAUUCGUAGAUAUUCGGAAGAACACCAGUGGCGAAGGCGGCUCACUGGCCCGGUACUGACGCUGAGGUGCGAAAGCGUGGGGAGCAAACAGG
rnacentral:rRNA from 1 species